GCCACUGCUUUGGCCUGUGAAGCGGCAGUGAGAGGGAGCAGAGACCGGAGCUGGUGGGAAACCUGGAAACUACCGGAAAAUUUACUUUCUUCCCCUCCUCAACUUAUCUGGCCGCUUCCUCCGAUUCUGCUGUCUGUCCUGCCAGUUCAAUCCAAUUUGCCUCCUCCUUAUCAUCUGUACAAAAUAUACCCAGUCCUGCCGCUUAACCUGCUACUCAGUAUCUGCCCCUUCCCCUCUUCACCACUCAGUAUCUGACGAUUCUCCUCUUCACCACACAGUAUCCACCCCUUCUCCUCUUCACUACUCAGUAUCUGCCCCUUCCCCUCUUCACCACUCAGUAGCUUCCCCUGAUCACUUCUCAGUCUCUGUCCCUCCCCUACACCUCACUCAUUAUCUGCCCCUUCCCAUGCUCAUCAAUCUUCAUCUGCCCCUUCUCCUGCUUAUCACUAAGUAUCUGAUCCUUCCCCUGCUCAUCACUCCAUAUCUGCCCCUUCUCUUGCUCAUCACUCAUCAUCUGCUCAUCACACAGUAUCUGACCCUACAUCUGCCCCUUCCCUUGCUCAUCACUCAGUAUCUGUCCCUUCCCUUGCUCAUUACUCAGUAUCUGACCCUUCCCCUGCUCAUCAGGCAUUAUCUGCUCCCUCUCAUUCUGCCCCAUCUCCAUGACCUCCCAUACUUUUUGCCCCCUCUCCGAGCCCUCCUACACAUUCUGGCUCCUGUCCACACCCUCCUGCACAAUCUGCCCCCUGUCCAGACCCUCUUGCACAUUCUGUCCCUUCUUCAGAACAUAACUUGCAGACAGUCCCCUCUUCUACCCAAGAUUCUAUUCCUGCUCUUGUUUUAGAGGGAACUGAGGACGAACCUUUCAAAUCCUUCAGAAAAUGUCAGCAUUGGCCUCUCCCUGCUUAUAAAAGCAACACCUGAGAGACUAUUUGAAAUUCUCACGCAGAAUUCAGUGAACCUUCAAGCGCUAAGACAUGUUUAUAGAUUAGCUUAUAAAAGCAACACCUGAGAGACUAUUUGAAAUUCUCACGCAGAAUUCAGUGAACCUUCAAGCGCUAAGACAUGUUUAUAGAUUAGGUGAGUACAUGUUUUACAUCUAUUGGAUACUGACAGGCAGAGCUGGGUUGUAGUGCAAGUAUUGAGAGUCAUUUCUAAAUUAAACAAAUGCGUGUGAAUUUCCAAAAUUCCAUUGUUAGAUAAGAAAUGCAGGACCAGAGAUGAUGAUGAUCAGCACAUACUUGAUUAAAUAAGUACAUUGAUGUAUCUUAAACUAAUGAAAGUUUAUUUUUACUUUCAUAUCCCUUUAAGCAAUACAAAAAGAUGGGCAGAGUUUAUGGAGAUAAUAGGCCACUUACCAGUAUUUAUUCAACUGACUAUUGCGGGGGUUAAACACAUAGGAAGUGAGGGUUGUAAAUGCAAACAUAACAUGCUUUAACAAUUUAAGUAUGUAAUUUUUGCAAUAGAAUAUUCAUUUCAUGUAAAGUCAUUCCUAGUUUAUGUACAGUAUAUGCAUUUUUAUUUUGGGUAAGGGUAAAUUGAAAUAAGUCACUAAUUUUAAUUAUUUUAAUUUAUAUAUAUAAUCUGCACCAGAAAAUAGGUGGAGCUAAAUGAUGCUAAUUAUGUGGGUUUGGCAAAGUGGGCGGAACUUAAGGGAAGGGGGUGUGGUAAUUUUUUUCAUGCAGGUAAUUGCUAGCUGCAAAGUGUCCCUGGAAUUUUUUUUCAAAUGUUGGCA